UCUCCACUAUUGUACGCCUCCACGUUCGGCCUAUCCUCUCCUCACCCAAACACCAAUUAUUAAGACAAAGACAACAAAUUUCCCAUCAUUAGCUCUUCGUUCAACUGCUUUUUUUUCAAAGGUGUGUUUCUUCAGUCCAAACAGUAAAUCACAUGGUUUUUGGUUGAUUUAUCAAGAGUCGUAGCAGGGGUCACCAAGAUGAAGUCUUUGCUUUUUCAACUUAUAUUGGCAUCUUUUGUUCUCUCGAACUUUGACAAUAAUGUGAAUGCUGGUCACACAAGUGUCUUUGUUCGGAAGGAAUGGCCAUCGGAAGACAUCCCUCUUGAUCAUGAAGUAUUUGCCGUUCCCACAGGUCAUAAUGCACCACAACAAGUGCAUAUAACACAAGGAGAUUAUGAUGGGAAAGCUGUAAUUAUCUCAUGGGUCACCCCUGAUGAACCUGGGUCCAGCAAAGUACAGUAUGGAACAUUAAAGGGAAAAUAUGAAUUUACUGCAGAGGGGAAGAUGACAAACUACACCUUUUAUAAAUACAAUUCUGGCUAUAUUCAUCAUGUUCUUGUUGAUGGUCUUGAGUAUGAUACCAACUUCUAUUACAAGAUUGGAACUGGUGAUUCUGCACGAGAAUUUUGGUUUCAAACACCUCCUAAGAUCGGUCCAGAUGUUCCUUACAAAUUUGGAAUCAUUGGUGAUUUGGGUCAGACAUAUAAUUCACUGUCCACCCUUGAGCAUUACAUGCAGAGUGGAACACAAACUGUCUUGUUUGUAGGAGAUCUUUCUUAUGCUGAUAGAUAUCAGUAUAAUGAUGUUGGUAUAAGAUGGGAUUCAUGGGGUCGCUUUGUUGAGAAAAGUACUGCAUAUCAUCCUUGGAUCUGGUCUGCUGGGAAUCAUGAAAUAGAAUACAUGCCUUACAUGGAUGAAGUUGUCCCUUUUAAGUCCUAUCUCCAACGGUACCCUACACCUCAUUUGUCUUGUAAAAGCAGCAGCCCAAUGUGGUAUGCUAUUAGACGUGCAUCUGCUCAUAUCAUUGUGCUAUCGAGCUACUCUCCAUUUGUGAAAUACACACCUCAAUAUGAGUGGCUUAGUGAAGAAUUAAAGAAGGUUGACCGGGAGAAGACUCCUUGGCUUAUUGUCCUUAUGCAUAUGCCAAUCUACAAUAGCAAUGAAGCACAUUUCAUGGAGGGUGAAAGUAUGCGAGCAGUCUUUGAAGAAUGGUUCGUCCACCACAAAGUUGAUGUAAUCUUUGCUGGUCAUGUCCAUGCUUACGAAAGAUCUUAUCGAAUCUCAAAUAUAAGGUACAAUGUAUCAAGUGGCGAACGUUACCCUGUACCAGACAAAUCAGCUCCAGUUUACAUCACUGUCGGAGAUGGUGGAAAUCAAGAAGGUCUAGCUGGAAGAUUUUUAGAUCCCCAACCAGAGUAUUCUGCAUUCCGAGAAGCUAGUUAUGGUCAUUCGACACUGGAGAUCCAAAAUAGGACACAUGCAUUCUACCAUUGGAACCGCAAUGAUGAUGGGAAAAGAGUGGCAACUGACUCGUUUGUAUUACACAAUCAGUACUGGUGACUACAAUCAACCUUAAUCUGCAUAAGGCUGUAUGUUAGAUGAGGAAGCAUCAAAGUCUGCAGUGAAACAACUAAUGGUCAAGCAAUCUGAGACGAAGAAAACUGAAGAAGCAUCAUUUGAGUAGCGUGCUUAAGCGUAUUGCUUCUUAUUGAGAAGAUGAACUUUCGACUAAAGUAUUUCAUCUCUGGUACAGAUUUGGUUGAUUAAAUUUCAGUAAGAAGAUGAAAAUGCUAAGGAGUUUUGGCAUUUUCGUCUUUUUCUUCGAAAUCGUGCUUGAAAAUGAACUCUUUAAAUGGCUCAUAAAUUGUAUGCUGUAGCUAGAAUUAUCACUGUUCAUGAAUUAGGUGGAUUUACUUCGAUUCUAAAUCUCUCUUUUCUUUUUUGGCUACACCCACAGUUCGGGUGAAAAUAAACAGGUCUGUGAAAAGCUUGCUGUCUGAUAAUGCCUGAAUCUUCGAUUUAGAACUUCGUAAA